GAUGAACGCUGGCGGCGUGCCUAAUACAUGCAAGUCGAGCGAACAGACGAGGAGCUUGCUCCUCUGACGUUAGCGGCGGACGGGUGAGUAACACGUGGAUAACCUACCUAUAAGACUGGGAUAACUUCGGGAAACCGGAGCUAAUACCGGAUAAUAUAUUGAACCGCAUGGUUCAAUAGUGAAAGACGGUUUUGCUGUCACUUAUAGAUGGAUCCGCGCCGCAUUAGCUAGUUGGUAAGGUAACGGCUUACCAAGGCAACGAUGCGUAGCCGACCUGAGAGGGUGAUCGGCCACACUGGAACUGAGACACAGUCCAGACUCCUACGGGAGGCAGCAGUAGGGAAUCUUCCGCAAUGCGCGAAAGCUUGACGGAGCAACGCCGCGUGAGUGAUGAAGGUCUUCGGAUCGUAAAACUCUGUUAUUAGGGAAGAACAAAUGUGUAAGUAACUAUGCACGUCUUGACGGUACCUAAUCAGAAAGCCACGGCUAACUACGUG
rnacentral:rRNA from 1 species